GACGAACGCUGGCGGCGUGCUUAACACAUGCAAGUCGAACGGAAAGGCCCUGCUUUUGUGGGGUGCUCGAGUGGCGAACGGGUGAGUAACACGUGAGUAACCUGCCCUUGACUUUGGGAUAACUUCAGGAAACUGGGGCUAAUACCGGAUAGGAGCUCCUGCUGCAUGGUGGGGGUUGGAAAGUUUCGGCGGUUGGGGAUGGACUCGCGGCUUAUCAGUUUGUUGGUGGGGUAGUGGCUUACCAAGGCUUUGACGGGUAGCCGGCCUGAGAGGGUGACCGGCCACAUUGGGACUGAGAUACGGCCCAGACUCCUACGGGAGGCAGCAGUGGGGAAUAUUGCACCAUGGGCGGAAGCCUGAUGCAGCAACGCCGCGUGCGGGAUGACGGCCUUCGGGUUGUAAACCGCUUUCGCCUGUGACGAAGCGUGAGUGACGGUAAUGGGUAAAGAAGCACCGGCUAACUACGUG
rnacentral:rRNA from 1 species